rnacentral:rRNA from 1 species
GACGAACGCUGGCGGCGUGCCUAAUACAUGCAAGUAGAACGCUGAAGGAGGAGCUUGCUCUUCUGGCUGAGUUGCGAACGGGUGAGUAACGCGUAGGUAACCUGCCUGGUAGCGGGGGAUAACUAUUGGAAACGAUAGCUAAUACCGCAUAACAGUAGAUGUUGCAUGACAUUUACUUAAAAUGUGCAAUUGCCUCACUACCAGAUGGACCUGCGUUGUAUUAGCUAGUUGGUGGGGUAACGGCUCACCAAGGCGACGAUACAUAGCCGACCUGAGAGGGGGAUCGGCCACACUGGGACUGAGACACGGCCCAGACUCCUACGGGAGGCAGCAGUAGGGAAUCUUCGGCAAUGGACGGAAGUCUGACCGAGCAACGCCGCGUGAGUGAAGAAGGUUUUCGGAUCGUAAAGCUCUGUUGUAAGAGAAGAACGAGUGUGAGAGUGGAAAGUUCACACUGUGACGGUAUCUUACCAGAAAGCGACGGCUAACUACGUG